rnacentral:rRNA from 1 species
UGAGGAAUAUUCGGCAAUGGGGGGAAACCCUGACCGAGCAACGCCGCGUGAAGGAUGACGGUCUUUGGAUUGUGAACUUCUUUUCACGGGGAAGAGAGAGGACGGUACCCGUGGAAUCAGUCACGGCUAACUACGUGCCAGCAGCCGCGGUAAUACGUAGGUGGCAAGCGUUAUCCGGAAUUACUGGGCGUAAAGCGCCCGCAGGUGGUUGUCUAAGACUGACGUGAAAGCACCUGGCUUAACUGGGCGAGGUCGUGGGUGACUGGAUGACUAGAGGCAAGAAGAGGGGUGCAGAAUUCCCGGUGUAGUGGUGGAAUGCGUAGAGAUCGGGAGGAAUACCAGAGGCGCAAGCGGCACCCUGGUCUUGGCCUGACGCUGAGGGGCGAAAGCGUGGGGAGCGAACGGGAUUAGAUACCCCGGUAGUCCACGCCGUAAACGAUGAACACUAGGUGUUGGUGGUGUUAAAGCCAUCGGCGCCGCAGCUAACGCGAUAAGUGUUCCGCUGGGGA